UCAUGCUUUAAUUCCUCUGCUAUGUUUUGUUUCUGUUCCACAACACACUCACCACAAUUCUAGCCAGUCAUAUUACUCCUGCCCUAACUGUAGGUUGGGAACACUAUUUUGUGAGGUUGCACCCUUAGGAGCUCCCGUUCCCACCUCUCAUGACUUCUCUACGCCUCUUCUGUUUUCUUUUUGACUUAAUCCCCAGUUCACCUCUGGGUUUUCUGUUCUAAAAUAAACUGAGACUUUAAGGAGGGGCUGCUGUUUUUAAAAAAGACAUGUUGACACAAUGAAGACUCCAAGGCUUUUUGGACAGUUCCAAUUAAGAAUUUAGCUAGGCAGGAUUAGCUCCAGCUGUAUUCACAUUUUAAAAUUAAAUUUUGGGCUGUGUUGCUGGCGAGGCUGACAUUUUAUUGUCCAAUUUCAAUCUGUCCUUAUUUUCCUCUUUUUUUUUCCUUUUCCUGAAAUUCUCCCCACUUAAUUCUUGGCAUAUUUCCUACCAGUGAUAUUUACUGGGGUCGAGGAUAAUCCUGAGCUUUACUGACCUUGGUCUAACGGUUAAAAUACUCAGCAACGGAAAAACAGAUGGGAAAGAAGAGGGAAGAAUGUUCUGGCUUGUUUGUGGUUACCUAGGAGACCAGAGGGGAGGCUAUAGUAGUAGGUGGCAUCACAAGGGGGGAAGCUGCCAUGCCAGUAAUGGGAUGCUUGGCCAUGCAGCUACCCACCUGGCAGUCAAAUGGGCUAAUCAAAUGCCCAGUUGAGGGCUACCUCCUGCCUUAGUCAAUGUUUUACCCCCAUUGGGAAGAGCCUACUCUUUCAUGUAGUGGUGGUCUGCCUAACCCUGGUGGCCUUGUUUAUCAAAAUUGGGAGAGGGCAUGUCCUUUGGACACCCAAUGAGGCCAAGCAAGGCACAAUCCUACCUAACAACGCCCAGCCCUCAUGCCCAUUGCUGGAAUAUCAUCUACCCUCACCCAAGACAUUGCAGCCUAUUGCCCUGACCCUGGCAUCUCCUUUGUAGAUGACCAGGAAAUGGGUACCCCCUACCCAUCAUCCCCUGCUAGCAGUGCCACUGCCAAGGUUGUAAGUUUAUUGGCCUCUCUGAGCUGACAGCUUUAAUUGACAGUUCUGUUGCAAGGCGAGCCCCCGUGAUGCCCCAUAAACUGGGCACUGCUGAAAAAACACCGCUUCAGGAUCCUGUUGUUGUGGUUCUGUCUCUGGCUUUCAGCUCUGGUGGCAGGGCCGUUUACCUCCUUCCCAAAACUAAAAGCAUUUAGGCGACCGUUAAUAUUUCAGGACUGCGACUUGUUGCAGUGUAAAGUCAGUGAUCUGAAAUCUUUUUAAAUCUGUUCCUCUCUCUCUCUCUUCCCAGCUGAGUAUUUCCAGUUGUGUUUUUUUUUCUGUUCUUAUUUCAGAUUUCCAACAUCUGCAAUUGCUUUGCGUUCAUUCUAAAGGUUAUUGGCAUUUGGAUUCUAUGAUGUUGGCAGACUUUAAAGGGAUGCUGCUGUCUUGUUCAAUCCCGUGUUUGUCCAAUCUUUUGAGCUUUCAGAUAUUGAUUGUAGUGCAGGCAUUAAGUUUAUUUUUUUUUAACCCUCUGGGAUGCAGCAAUCCCAAUUUGUGCUGUUGACAGGUGUUAUGUAAAGGACAAAAGAGCUUGCAGUUUUUUUUGGGAAGUUCCUUUCACGACCUGCGACUGUCCCAAAGCUCUGAGCAGCCAGGGAAACACUUCAUGCAGCUUCGGGUCACUGAGUAAUCAGCGGAGGCGACGGCAGCGGCUAUGGGUCUUAGCAGUCGGCCGCAAAGUGGUUGGUGUGCCUGGGCAAGACUCCGGUAGUAGGUGGCAUCGCAGAAGUGGCUGGAGGCCCAGAACGGGACCGUGGCGGGGUGGCUGGUGAACCUGGAUGCUGGUCAGCGGAAAGACGUGGGGAUCAAGAGAUCGAGCCCCCCUGGGGAAAGCCCAGUGUGCAGUGACCGCAGGCUCGUGACUAAAGAAGGACUUGAAGCUUAUGACCUUUUUUUUUCUAAUACUGACCAGAAACGUCCUGAUGAAGGGUCUAGGCCCGAAACGUCAGCAAUCCUGCUUCUAUGAUGCUGCUUGGCCUGCUGUGUUCAUCCAGCUCUGCACCUUGUUACCUUAAGUAAUAUUGAACUUUUAAUUUAUUUCUUUAUUUUUCUACUUAAGAUGGUGACACUGUAAACUUUUGACUGCACUCCUGUAUCCCUGUGCUUGAGUACAUGUGUCAAUAAAACCUAAUCUAAUCUAA